rnacentral:rRNA from 1 species
GUCAACGACCAUACCAUGUUGAACACACCGGUUCUCGUCCGAUCACCGAAGUUAAGCAACAUCGGGCAUGGCUAGUACUUAGCUAGGUGCCAUGUGUCGUUGGCA